rnacentral:rRNA from 1 species
GACGAACGCUGGCGGCGUGCUUAACACAUGCAAGUGGAGCGACGAAGCGGGCUUCGGCCCGUGGCAGAGCCGCGAACGGGUGAGUAACACGUGGGUAACCUACCUCGAUGACCGGGACAACCAGAGGAAACUCGGGCUAAUACCGGAUGUGCUGGUCCCUUGUAAGGGGGUUCAGUAAAGAUAGCUUUGGCCUUCGCAUCGAGACGGGCCCGCGGCCCAUUAGCUUGUUGGUGAGGUAACGGCUUAACAAGGCGAAGAUGGGUAGCCGGUCUGGGAGGACGGUCAGCCACACUGGGACUGAGACACGGCCCAGAAUCCUACGGGAGGCAGCCGUGGGGAAUCUUGCGCAAUGGGCGUAAGGCUGACGCAGCAACGCCGCGUGGGGGGAAGAAGGCCUUCGGGUUGUAAACCCCUUUCAGUUGGGACGAAGCUUCCAGCGUUAAUAGCGUUGUGGAGUGACGGUACCUUCAGAAGAAGCCCCGGCUAACUACGUGCCAGCCGCCGCCGUAAGAC